rnacentral:lncRNA from 1 species
ACUGCGCAUAUAAACGCAAGCUACACAAAAGUGACAUGGACAAGAACAGCGCAAGCCCUUUACAUGCAGUGGAGCCGCCGUAUCUCGCCGUUCAAGAUAUGCGUACUCGUAAGUGGCAUUUUAAUUUCACGUUGUGUAAUGCAUGACUGUCUUUUUCAAGUGAACAAAGGUCGCUUUGUAUUGUGUAAAUGGUUUUGCAACGUAUGAUAAACUCCUUGUCUUUCGGGCUUAUUUUUUCUGACAGGAAAAAAAAAAAAGGAGGCUUUACAUGAGAACGGAUCAAGCGUUCGAGAGUUGGGACAGGGAAAUGAAACACUGGAACGACACUGCUUAAAUUGAAGCACAGUGUGCGAAUGACCUGCUACGCUCGGAACUGUUAUCACCAUUCGGGAAGAAAUUGGAUGAAAAAACAUAACUGUAAAUACCUGUAUGAUAUACGUCUGGUGCAUUGCAGGUAAGAAUGGAUUGUGUGUGGCGCGCUUCACCGCAUGUGGACUAGAGUAGAUCUAGGAACAUCAGACAAGAAGACACGUAUGUGAAACCCUGCGGAUAGCCCAUAUGUAAGUUCUUCCUCAAUUUUUCUUUUGUUGCAUUUUCGUAGUUUACGUGUAAUACUUUGUCACCGCGGUCUCGACGUUAUGUAUACCUAUACAUUUGUCUCGUGGCAGUCUGCGUGCUAUUUUGUUUGUGCAACUAUGUGUUGUAUUCAUUUAUCGAGCUGCUUGG